UUGGUGCAAAAGUAAUUGUGGUUUUUGCCACUACUUUUAAUGGCAAAAACCACAAUUACUUUUGUACCAACUGAAUA
rnacentral:miRNA from 1 species